CCAUUUAUACCUCUGGCCGUUCUACCAACACGAUGAAUAUACUCCUUUUUUGCAGAGAAUAAGAAACAGUACCUGAAUUCUCAGAGAACUGCAUGAAUACAGCACGUUAUUUGUACAACCAUGACAAGCGUCACAAGGAUCUAACAGGUACAAAGAUGAACAGCUUCAACAAGAGGAACUGAAGAGUAAACUGGACUUCAGUAUACCCC